UUCUGCUGACACGAUUUUCAACUUUAAAUCCUAGCCCAAAUUGCUCAAAUCUCUAGCUAAAUUUGAUGAGAAGUUUAUACAUUAUCAAACUUCAAAUGCUGGGUUUAGGUUUAGUGGGAUUAUUUCAAUCGUGUGUGGGUCGCGAAAUUGGGAAUUCAAUUGUGCGUUUUCAAUAGUUAUUAGGACCCGAAUUGCAUUUUUUCCAGUUGAAUUCGUGGCUUGAAGUAUGCAGAAUGCAUUAAAUUGAAGUGGGAUAGGUUUGAGAGUAGUUAUUUGGUGGCUGCCAGCAUGGG
rnacentral:lncRNA from 1 species